rnacentral:lncRNA from 1 species
UUUGUCGAUGUCAUAUCUUAAAGCAUCAGAACUGUAGAAAAAUAAAGACCAAAAUAUUAACAUUGAAAUAAAAUAGCUCAUUUAUAAUAUUAAAUUUGUUAAAAUUGAAAUAAUAGACACAAAUAUAUUUGAAUUAUGCUUAUUAUGUGACAUUAUCAAACGUAAGUACACUAAUAAUUUUCAUUUAUUUUGAGAAAUUGGGAAAUUCUGCUUAUUAUCGGAAUUGUAAUAAUAUACUUAUACUCCUACACCAAAAUGGGGCUUUCAAAUUCAAUCUAAUGAUCAUUUGAAUCAAAAAAACUGUAAUCUUAAAAAAUCCUCAAAUUUGUUAAUGAAUUAACUAAGAUACUAAUCUUGUAUUGAACUGCAAUGAUAUCCAUAAACAGCUCUCAAUUCAGAAUUUAAGGUCACAUAAAACAUACUGAAAUUCCAUUAUGCAGCUUAAAUUGGACAAUAAAUGAAAGAACAAUACAAGAUAUUAAUAACACUUUUGAGAAUCUUUUGUUGCUCAAAAAUUUUUAAAUGGGAUUGCUGCAUAUCUUGAAUGUUUUUAACAUAUUCAUCAUUCUUAAUUUGUAGCUCAUUCUUUUGUUUCUUUUAUCUCAUAAAGUUGAUUUAUUAGAAAUAUUCACUUUUGAGAUAAUGUGUUUGAGUCAUUUAGGAAGUUUUUCAAAAUCUUUACAUAAAUAACACAGUUCAUAAUAUGUUACCUCUACAAUUUCUUCAUUUGCCAUUAUACAUGUGUUGGUUUCUUCUUUUUUAACCUUGAUUUUCAUCGUGGAACUCUUUUUGCAAGAUAACCUUUUUUGCACUUUCUUAUUCAAAAGACAUCUAGUUUUGAAAUUUCCUAACUUGUGCCAUCUAUGACAUGUAAUUUGAUUUGCAGGUUUAACAUCACUUAUUCUUGAAUUUUUUCCUCUUACACUGUUAUGUGCUCAAACCUUAAAGGUGGAGCAUUUAUACCAAUUGCAAUAACACUAUCAAUUACAAGAAAGGGAGUUUGAAUUGUGUCCAUUUUAAAAUUUUGAUUCAUGUGCUUAAUUUAAAUUAACUCAAGAUCAAUCUUAGUUGAAACAUAAUGUUCUGGUUACGUUAGAAGUGAAUAAUACACAUUAGUUUAUAGUGAGAUGUAGUUUUUGUGUGCAAAUAAUUAAAGAUAAGAGAUAAAAAUAUAACACACACAAAGUAUAUCGGUUCAAUUAACUCGGGCUAGUUCAAUCAUCACAACCGUGAAAUUUUUACUAUGCGUUUCAGAACUAGAAUGUUUUCUUUCAAACUUUUUCUCUUGAUCACACCUCUACCAAUCUAGAAAUAUUUUUACAGUCAUCUUUCAACCUUGAAAUGAUUUUCACAGUCGCUUUUCAAUCUAGAAUUAUUUUUACAAAUACACUAAAUCUAACAUAAAAGAUAGACUUGAGUUACAAAUGAUGUGUAUGAUAAUAGUGUUUGUGAUCUUGAAACUUCUCGAUACUUAUUUGAGAUAAAUAAAGACAAGCUCAGUAAACGAUGAUCCACAUAUAUAAUGAAGAGAGCUAAACUACUUCAAGAGUGUUUGACUUGUUCUUACUUGAACAAAUGUUGGUUGAUUUGCAAAUUGAACCGUUGCCUUCUUCUUACAAUUGAUCUUCAAAUUAUAUUCAAUGGGAGACUUUGAAUAUUCAGUUUAAACUUAAUAUAUCAAAUAGACACAUUAGCCAAACGCCAGAUCCAUUUUAAAACAAUUAAAAACAUGUUUAUAUUGUUGUUCAGAAUAUUAUUGACAAACCUAUAACGUUCUAGCUUUUGAAUCUGAUUGAAAACGUGAAUGAUUGAGUGAAUGGAUUGUGAAAUUUUUGUUUUUUGUCUCAAAAGCAUGUUGAUCUAUCUGCAAAAGGUGCAACAACAGUGUACUCAUGUCCUUGCUCACAUCUCAUCAAUCUGGAGACCAAUCUGGUCAUUAAUUUCGAGGUUAUGUUCCUUUUUUGGACCUUUAGCGUGAAUUUUAGACUUGAUUAUUGAUUUGAGUAGUCUUGAUACUCUUUAACUUGAUGUUUGGACUAUGCAGAAUAAUAUGUUUUAUUUAUGUUUUUAAAAAAGAAUAACUAGAAUGUUCUUUUAUUCAAAACCAAAUUGUUCUUGUUAUAAACUAGAAUGUUCUUCUAAUCAUGUUGAAAAACCCAUGUGGGAAAUGUGAACUAUUUUACUGCAUGUUGCUCUUUCGAAAAGUUCAUUAUUGUCAAUUGUUCUGUAAUAGAGCAACCAUAACAUUCUAGUGAUUGUUCUUCCAUUAUUUUUUAAACAAAUGACUUAGUAAAUGACUUAAUCUUAAAAUAAUUUCUUCUUCAAAGUUGAUUCUUGUUAUUUUGUUGAAAUGAUAUAAAUAUUUACGAGUGCAAUGAAUUUGUUUGUCAUGAGAAUAUUAUUUCAUAACAAUUGAGAAUGUUGUCUUUUAUAUGAGAGGAUAAAUCUUUUGUUGAAACAAUACUUCAUACAAUUUCUCUUGAUAUUUCACAUGUUGUAUUUUGUCCAUCAAAUAUUAGUGAGAUACUUUAGUAUAUGUAUGAAUUUAUUAGACAUUUUUUUCAUGAAAAUGAUAUCUUGAAGAUACAACAAUAAUUCUAUUAAAUGAAUUAUAUAUAAUAUAUUUAUUUUAAAAUUAUUUUAUUAUUGAGUAAAUAUUUAUGCACGUGAUGUGAAUGAUUUUUUGCUUAUCCAUUUAUGCAAUUUAUGUUUCUUAAAUAAAACACAAGUAUGAUCUUAAAUAAAUCACAAUUUAUUAAACUUAAUCAUUUUUUUCAUAAAGUUUAUUGUCUUUAAAAUAUAUAUCAAAAAUAUUUUUAUCUCAAUAAAAACCAUUCUUUGAAAUCAAAAAGACAAAAAAUCUAUAAACUUUGUUUGGGUGAAUAAGGCCAUAGAGAUGCGUCACUUUGUAUGUGUUGAUGUUUUGUUUUUUUUAAGGUGAGAACAGUGGCGGAUCUUGAUAAAUUUUAUUGGGGGGACCAACAUAAAAACAAAAUAUUUUCAAUUCAUUUUAUAUGUUCCAUUUUGGUGUAGUGGUAAUUUUAAUUUUUAGAUGUAUUAAAGGUACCCUGUUCGAAUCCAACUAUUUACAAUUUUGUCAAUCAAAUAACUAUAUUUAUAAUAAAAAUAACAAAAGUCAUUAUCAUGUAGCAUUGAACCACAGACAUGAGGUUUAUGAAAAUGUCCAUUACCAUUAAGCUACUCCACAAUUUGACAUUGUUAACGAGACAUUUGUUAUAUAUACCAUAUAUUAUAGAUAAAUUUUAUUAUAAGUAUACAUAAUUUUACCGAAGAAGAAAAUUUUGGGGUGGCCGUGGCCUCCCCCUGUCAUAACUCAGAUCUGUCCCUGAUAACAUCACCCAUUUUGUAUAAGUAUUUAAUUCUAUAAUUCUUUUUCUUUCAACUUUUACGCAAAUAUAGAACUUUACAACAUUCACUUUUCUGUGUUUGCAAAUGAUUUCUUUUGGCUUGAACAUUCUGUCUGAUAACUCCAGUUGCAGAUUAGGUGAGUUGUAAAUUUAUACUGUAGAUAGUAGAAUAUGUCAUGGUAACUGUCAUGGUUAAAAUUUUGAAGGCUGUGUACGUCACACUCUGUUUAACUUUUAUGACACAGUGCUUCUUAGUAUUUGGUUGCCUUGAUAAGGAAAUAUCUAUUAUAAUUCUGAAACAUAUUCAGCUGAUAAUGGAUAUGUGUGUAAAUUUCUGAAUAUAUGGUGGUUUCAGUGAGAUAUCACACUAUCAUGUAUGCAUAUAUAGAACUCUGAACUUGAAAAAUGUCAUUCUUUCUUUAUUAUAAGGAAACUAAUGGAUUUUGUUAUUAAUUCUUAUUAUUUUUUUAAUAAAUUUGAGGGGUAUAACUUAUUUAGGAAACUGACUGUAAUUUAUAAGUAAACGUCUUGGUACUUUGAAUUAAAACAUUUUAGGUACGGCGAUCAUGCAUUCCACACAUGAUUUUAUAAUUGUGGCGACCAGUAUCUUCUACAAUUUUUUAUUUUUAAUAUUGUGCUUAUUUUAUUUUUUCAUUAUUUGGCUUGUAGUUGCCGGGUCGUACAGAUAAUGAGAUAAUGAAGUACUGGAAUACCCGGGUCAAGAGGUGUCAACGGGCUGGCUUGCCGGUCUAUCCUCCCGGAGUGCAGCAAGAGACUCCUCGUGACCAAAGCACUGGUGGAAUUAACGGAGACCAUAAAUUGCAUCCCGAUGAUAUACAUGAUGCAAUAUUUGACAGUCUGAAGGAUAACCAGGGAAUCUUACCUUAUGUUCCUGAGCUUUGUGAUAUUUCUGCUUAUGGCAAUAUGCUAAAUGGUUUUGAUUCUUAUCAGUAUUGUAGUUUUCUGCCAGCAACAUCAUUC